GUGAGAUGAGAGCUGCUGAAUAGGAAAGUAGCAUGCAUUUGUGGGAGUUAUUAGCAGGUAAAACUGAAAAUGAUCAAAUUUUAAAUCACAAAAGCACUUCUACAGCAGGGUGUACUAUACCAUUAGGGAAUAAAAAAUGAAACGGCAGUUACACUUUAACAUCUGCUUCGAUCAGUGGUGGCCU